rnacentral:sRNA from 1 species
AUUGAAUUUUACUCAAAAACGUUAGCCAUGCCUUGUUAUCAAUCAAUCCGUCUCUUAUACUUGACCUACACAUGCUUUCAAAUCUACCAAUCCCUUUAACAUUCAUUAGUUCUGGAACGUGAAUCAAGCAAUGCAUCAUCAAUGAACUCAUUUGGCUAAGGUGAAGGUCAAGAGACAAAGAUGGUCCCUUACAGAAUAGGCUUAAGUAACAGGGGAUCCCUCAAGAAUGAUUGAGCUUUAGUAGAAUGCUAAAGGUAAGUCCCAAGUUAUGCAUACAGAGAUAAGAUCCCAUCUACCCAGAGUAUAACAAUGAAGUUCUAAUGGUAAUCCCAACUCCAGUCCCAACUUAACUCUACCCUUUGCACUCAUGAAUCUUUCAAACUCUUUUUCAUAUCAUUCUUUUCUUUUCUCUUAACUCUAGGAGAAGCUUUCUCAACACUCUGAUACAUCUAGCGGAUUUGGAUUUCUUUAACAACUAAAGUUCCUGUUUUUAAUCUUUAAAACCAAAGGCUUUUAACCCUUCUUCUUUAGCUAACAAGAACCUCAUUCUUUUCUUUAACAUUCCCAAAACCUUUACUAGAUUUUUUUUCUAACUUCUUUAGCUUACUUCCCCUAGAAUUCUUUCCCUUUCCUUAUCAACAAUGAAUUCACCCUUUUCUUUUAAACACAUCCCAACCCAUGAUAUAAGCGCCCACCUAAUCCUAUCCAGUCCGAAGAACGCGAACUAGAACUACAUGAGACACUAUCUUUGUCGUUACGAACCUAACACUUUCUACCAAGCUCAAUCGAAAUAAGACCUCACAAACACUCACAAGUGAUAUAGGGCUUGAAAGAAAGUUCAGGUUUGGGUUCGGGUUAACUGCUCUAAUAAGGAGAGUCAGCUACUUGGAUUAACAAGAGUGGUUAAAAUGAGUAAGAAAAUCCAAGUAUUUUAGGGUAUCCAUGUGUUCAAAUUCGAUGCCAAGACAUGAUAAUUCUAAAUCAGAUUCAAGUUCAAAUUGAUAGGGAAUGAUAUCAGAUCCUAAUAGUGUGGUCGAGUAGAGCAAUCUAGGCAUGGUGCAGUUUUACUUCAAUUUCAAUGACUACGCAUCAGACAACUAACAACGAGGGCAAUGAGCUUAUCUGGUGAACCAAAAUGCUUACAAAGCUAUCUCAUCAUUAUCCCCUAUGCAUAUGCAACAAUCCUAAACGAAACACUCUACACUCGAUCCUAAAUGCAAUGCAACUACAUGAGCACUCUAUUUUUGUGAAAUCAUUUUCUAAA